rnacentral:lncRNA from 1 species
CGAAAUUGAAAUAGAAGAAACGACCCGUCCGCCGAGUCCUCAGCAAUGGCUAAACCAGUCUCUCUGUCUCUUCUGUUCCUUCGGCCCGCCACACUCUCCCGCCUUCUCCCACACCCACCAACCCUCACCCUCACCCGCACCAGAACCAACCCCUUCUCUCCUCCCAUACGCCGUCGUUUUCAACCACCUCCACUCCAUUCCCACUCCAGUACGACCUCAUCAUCAACCGCCCCACCCAAUCCUCGCUCGACCGCCGCCCCGCCCGCGCCGCCAAACCCGGCUCAUCCGGGUCGGAGUCCGAUUCCCCGGAAAAUCCCAACGAAUUGGGGUUCGACAACUGGCUGGACCAGAAGCUCGAUC